rnacentral:lncRNA from 1 species
GGUUUUUAUUGAAUUAGAGUCAGUAUUAUAGACUUUGAAUGAUUUAUGUAAAAAAAAUAUAUUUAUGCCAAAAUUUAUCAAUGUUUUUGCCGUUACAAAGUUGACAUAGAAUAAAAUUACGGAGUAAUUUGUACUCACCAAAACUAAUCUAUAAUGAAAUGAAUCAAUGAUGUCAUCCUGUAACUUUAAGCACGUCAUCAGAGGAUGAAGAGUAAGUAGAGAGCACUUCCUUAGUUACAAGGG